rnacentral:RNase_MRP_RNA from 1 species
GCUCGUGCUGAAGGCCUGUUUCCUAGGCUACAAACGGGGGAUUUAGUUCCUCAUUUAUGCCUAGGGGAAAGUCCCCGGACCUCAGGCAGAAAGUGCCGCGUGCACCUGCACGUAGAUAGGCCCUGCACCUCACGGUUUAACCCGCUAAGAAGCGAUCCCGCCGAGCGGCGUGCUGCAGGGGUGUUAUCCGUCAAAUGAAAUAGUUACGCAGGCAGUGCACUUCUGUGCACCAACCACACGGGGCUCAUUCUCAGCACGGC